CUGUUUUUACAGGGUGCCAAAAAAAAUACUUUCAUAGUGAGAGAGUUCAAAAACGCUUGGAACAAAUUGAACAUUUUUCGGUCCACACAACGUUAUACGGUGUGAUUUGCAUACUUACAUACAUACAUGUACGUAUGUAUGUAGUACAUCUAAUCUUUGUAUUUUUCCGGCUGCGAUUGUUAUGACGUUUUUAUGUACAUAUUCUAAAAACAUAAGCACACAUGUAGCGAAUUCAUACAUAUGUAUAUAUGUACAUAUGUAUGUAUGUAUGUAUGCAUGAUAUAUGUACAUUUAAUGAACGAUGUACCACCCUGGUUAAAAUAAUUUUUGCGCAUGUGCUAUAUAACCUUCACCAUAGCUCCACAUUCUUAAAUGGGUACGUGAUGAAAAAUGCUGUAAAGUGCAUACACAAAUACAAUGUAUACAUACAUAUUUAUGUAUGUAUGAAAAUGUAGAAAAUUCACUUGUAUCCAGUUAGUGCGCUUUUGUCAACAGUGAAACAACAUGUCUUAGCUUAGCUGCAUUGCUUAUCAGAUCAAUAUAAAAAGAAAAAUACAAUAUUAAGAACAGUUUGCAUUAAAAACUAUUAACUACAAAUUAAAUAGCACGAUAUUCAGCUUCAUUACUGGACUGGCCCGGUAGACAUGGGAAUGGAACGAAAUGUGAUGUUUUAACAAACAUAAACAACAAUAAAUGUGCAUACACAUGCAAGUAUGAAUCAGCAACCCUGUCUUUUGCUCAGUGUGACCGCGGGCUUGUGAAAAAUUGUAGCAGAGCAGAGACUUAAAAUGUAUCAAAUGUAUCACUUUUUUUUAUCUUAAGCAUCAAAGUAUCAAUAUGGAAUAAAACCAAUAAUUUUUAUGAAAAACCA